UACGGAGGGAGCUAGCGUUGUUCGGAAUUACUGGGCGUAAAGCGCACGUAGGCGGCUUUGUAAGUUAGAGGUGAAAGCCCGGGGCUCAACCCCGGAAUUGCCUUUAAGACUGCAUCGCUAGAAUUGUGGAGAGGUAAGUGGAAUUCCGAGUGUAGAGGUGAAAUUCGUAGAUAUUCGGAAGAACACCAGUGGCGAAGGCGACUUACUGGACACAUAUUGACGCUGAGGUGCGAAAGCGUGGGGAGCAAACAGG
rnacentral:rRNA from 1 species